CUUGCAAACUAAAGAUGGCGACCGGCGCACGGGUGAGUAACACGUAUCCAACCUGCCGAUAACUCGGGGAUAGCCUUUCGAAAGAAAGAUUAAUACCCGAUGGUAUAAUAAAACCGCAUGGUUUAAUUAUUAAAGAAUUUCGGUUAUCGAUGGGGAUGCGUUCCAUUAGGCAGUUGGUGAGGUAACGGCUCACCAAACCUUCGAUGGAUAGGGGUUCUGAGAGGAAGGUCCCCCACAUUGGAACUGAGACACGGUCCAA
rnacentral:rRNA from 1 species